UGCGUUGUAGCGUAGAAAGUGUGGUGUCAAGCAGCGUCGGCACGCGCCCCUGAAUAGGGUGAAAUGUGGGUUCGAGUCCCAACUGACGCAA